CCUCCUUUCUGGAGAUACUGAGUAGGAUUUUAUCCGAAAGGUUCUUUCAGGUCUUCUCACUUACUAACUCAAAUCUCAGGUUUCAAAAGCCAGUGUGGCUGUUUGACAUAGUUUUAAUUUGGUUGGCUUUAAAUAGCUGAUCACAUUGAAACAUUGGGUAGAGAGGAAGUAGUAAAGAAGUAAACCUUAGGUAGUGCCUCAGAAAAUGUCUGAGGAGUGUAGGAAGGUUUGAGGUGAAGACUGGGACUGAAACUCUGAGAACGAACUCUGGCUUUACAGCCGGCAGGUUCCCAGAGAUCGGAUUCUGGUCAAGUGAAUAAGUGCACACGGUGG
rnacentral:misc_RNA from 1 species